rnacentral:rRNA from 1 species
AUGUGUAAGGUGUCUUCAGAAACUAUUGCUGGGUACAGUGAAAUCUUGGUGUGCAAGCUCAUACCCGCCCUUUAUGUUUCUGUCGCGUUUUUGCUGCUGAUGGCGAUGAUAUCCACUCACUCGAAUAUUCGGUUGUCACUUUGCAGUCUUAUUUUUGUGGACUGGACCAUCCAUGCUGCUAUAGUACGAUCUAACCUAAAGUCGAUCAGAAUAGAAGGCAUAAUGUCCUCCACAAUUUUUUUUGCGGGAUCCACAAAAAUAAAAUUAAAAAUAAUAGAAGGGGUAAUUGCAGAAAACCAUCACAUUUAUAUGGUUUCAGAUUACCACUGUAACAUUUUUUUUAGAAUUUUCUCAGUUGUGAUAGUAAACUGA